GAUUACUUGUGAAUAUCCUGUCUAGCAGGAACGUGUGGUAGGCCGUGUAGGUGACAGUUACAUUGGUCCCCUGUAGUCCGCCUCCUGUUAGCAGGACGGGUAGGGUUUAUCGGCCUAUGGAUAAGCAUCCUUUGUGGUGUAUUCUUAUCACGUGGUUCGUCCCAAACAUAGACAUACCCCUUUGAAGUAGAGAAACCAUAGUUAUCCUCUCUAUUCUGCUACCAUCGCCCAUAUACUAGAUUGCUCUACUCUCUAUUCCCAUAUUAUCACCCAUUGUUAUCUUACCUUUAAUAUUGUUCUUAUUCAAUUCUACCAUCUUUCCUAUUUACACUUAUCUAUCUAUCUUGGUUAAGUUAGAGCAUAGUUGGUUCUCCCGUUUCCCUGUGGAUACGAUAAAACCUUUAACCGGGUAAAAGCUACAACGGUAUCCGUGCGCUUGCGGAUUUAUCUGUGUGCGUAUAAAUACCAUAGUACACUCUAGUGCCAUGCUGUGGAUGACAACCUAGUAUUCAAGUGGUGUUAGCAAGUGUCAACACCGACGUGUGGGCCUUUCUUCCAUAUUUCCUGAUAACCCCCUGCAGAAAUAGAUAAACAGCAAAACUUGUGGAAUUCUGUCAGAUCAAACCCUAAUUCUACGUGUUGCUUGUAUAUUGGUCCUUUUCCUUAUUUUUUUGAUAAUUAAAAUUGAUACUUAAGAACCGUCAACAAUUACUAAAACUGAAAUUUACUAUCUAUGGGAAGCAUGAACCUAAAACUAGAGUCUAGGUAAGAGAAGGACAUGAUAUAAAUUUUGAGCUACUGUUUAUCUUGUUUCUACUGCACUAAGUUCUGGAGAUUUAUUUUGAAAACUUGCAAAUCACAUGAUGAGUUCCUAGCAUGACGAAAAUCCCUACCACAGCCAUACUUUCUACAAUUUCUAUAUCUUUUGCUACUUAUAUUCACAUUGAGUUUGAUCGAGCUAUGUAGACCCUUAGGAGCUUUUCAUGUGGUUAAAUCAAGAUACAGACUUGCACUCAUCUAUUAUACCAUCCAUCAUCAUUCAUCAAAAAUCUGCUAAAAUAUUGUUAUCACUCACUGUCCCAAGUGUUGUUAUUCUCUCUCUCCAAAAAGAUUCAAUGCAGAAGAGGCAUGGGAUAUGCAAAAAAUAUGCGAGGAAAAAAAGGGGCUAGUGCCCGGAACCUUGAAAAAGAAAGAAAAAAAGACUGAGACGAGAGGUAAAAAUGGACAAGUGUCCGGAGUAGAAUUAGGGGUACAAAGAUGCCCACCUGAGCAGACAAAAUGGACAAUUGUCCGACAGUAUAAUUAGGGGUAUUUACUAUACACCUGAAAAGAAAAAGAAAAAGAAGUAAAAAGAUAGCACAUGUUCUCCCAAAUCAAAGAUCAAGAGAGGAGGAGAGAUAGCAAUAUGAGGAGCAAUGAGAAGUAAGUUUUAUCAUCACUUAUACAUUUUUACCAUCACUAUCGUCUACUCCACCACACAUGCACAUCUUAAUUUAAUUAUAUGCUGAGUUCCUUUGGAUCCAUGGCUCGAUUAGACAACAUAUGUAUGAGCUGUUUUUCACUCCUAUGAGCUCCACUUAAAUUUUCCAUUAGCUAUAGGUAGGUGACAUCUUUGUAAGGAUCCACAAAUACCACAUAUAGAGAGACUUGAGAGAAUCAUAGCUGGGAACUCUGAGCUUUAUUUUUUAAAACUUAUGCAAAACUCCAGAACAAAGGUGAAGUAUAGGCAAAAGGAAUAGUGCUUGAAUUAAUUAUCUUGUCUUUCAAUUACUCAAGACUUAAGUGCAGGUACUAAGCCCCUUGACAUUUCACUCUAAUCUGGGAGAAUUUUAUAUGAAAGCAUGUGUGCCUGUCAGGAAAGAAAACAUCAAAGCAACUCCUGAUCCAUCUGAGUUUAGUUGUUUGCUCACGGACGAGCAAAGGGUAGAUUGGGGGAGUUUGUUGACGGUCCUUAAGUACCAAAUUCAACCGUCAACUAAACAUGGAAAAGGAUCAAUAUGAACCAAACACCUAGAAUUAGGGUUUUAUCUGACAGAAUUCUACGAGUUUUGGUGUUUGUCUAUUUCUGCAGGGGGUUAUCAGAAAAUAUGGAGAGAAGGCCC
rnacentral:lncRNA from 1 species